rnacentral:rRNA from 1 species
AUUAAAGAGUUCUAUAACUCCCAAACCCAUGUGAACAUACCUAACGUUGCCUCGGCAGGUCGCACCUACCUUGUAGCACCCUACCCUGUAGGGCCUACCCGGGAGGUGCGGGUAAGCCUGCCGGCGGCCCACCAAACUCUGUUUGAUAUUGAAUUCUGAACCUAUAACUAAAUAAGUUAAAAACUUUCAACAACGGAUCUCUUGGUUCUGGCAUCGAUGAAGAACGCAGCGAAAUGCGAUAAGUAAUGUGAAUUGCAGAAUUCAGUGAAUCAUCGAAUCUUUGAACGCAUAUUGCGCCCAUUAGUAUUCUAGUGGGCAGGACCGUUCGAGCGUCAUUUCAACCCUUAAGCCUUCGUUGCUUAGUGUUGGGAGCCUACGGCAACGUAGCUCCUCAAAGUUAGUGGCGGAGUUGGUUCACACUCUAGACGUAGUAAUUUUUUAUCUCGCCUAUUAGUUGGACUAAUCCCCUGCCGUAAAACCCCUAAUUUAUCAAGGUUGACCUCGAAUCGGUUCAGACAAACUCGCUAAAUUGAAGCAUCUUAGUCAGCGAAGGAAAAGAAACCAACAGGGAUUGCCCUAGUAACGGCGAGUGAAGCGGCAACAGCUCAAAUUUGAAAUCUGGCCCUCGGGUCCGAGUU